rnacentral:rRNA from 1 species
CCUACGGGAGGCUGCAGUGAGGAAUAUUGGUCAAUGGGCGGGAGCCUGAACCAGCCAAGUCGCGUGAGGGAAGACGGUCCUAUGGAUUGUAAACCUCUUUAGUCGGGGAGCAAUGCCGGGCACGCGUGCCCGGAGGGAGAGUACCCGCAGAAUAAGCAUCGGCUAACUCCGUGCCAGCAGCCGCGGUAAUACGGAGGAGGCGAGCGUUAUCCGGAUGUAUUGGGUGUAAAGGGGGCGCAGACGGCAGCGCAAGCCAGGAGUGAAAGCCCGGGGCCCAACCCCGGGACUGCUCUUGGGACUGCGAGACUGGAGUGCAGGAGGGGAAAGCGGAAUUCCUGGUGGAGCGGUGAAAUGCGUAGAUAUCAGGAGGAACACCAGUGGCGAAGGCGGCCUGCUGGACUGCGACUGACGUUGAGGCCCGAAAGCGUGGGGAGCAAACAGGAUUAGAUACCCCGGUAGUC